rnacentral:lncRNA from 1 species
CCAGAUUUGCCAGCAACGGCGGUAAGCCUCAUUUCCACAACACAGAGGUGACUGGACAUGUAGGGAUGGGCUUUCCCUUUUUGGUCUAGUCAGAGUCUAAUGGCAAAAUUCUCUGGAUCAUUCCUGGGGCAUCAAUCAAGCAGCUCCAGAAUCAUUAACUCAAUGACAAAGGGAAGUAGUACCAAAAUAAGGAUCGGCAGUGGGGAAGGAGAAAAACAUAGUAUGCCUUUUUCUGUUACCUAUAUAUCAUCUGUAUAUAGUUCCUGUUGUUGUCUGUGCCCCGCAUGACUCUCAUAUUGGAGACUGAUGAGAACACGUCCUCUGUAAUUUAAUGGUGUCAUUAUUUAGCUACUUAAUAGAUUU